rnacentral:lncRNA from 1 species
AGUGAUUAUUAAUCGGACCAGAUCUGUUGCUUAGCUGGUGGAUUGGUCCAAUCGUAGAAAACAUGCGUAAGAACAGAUAAAUCGAAAAAGAGCGCAAUACACAUACUUUCAUACAUAUUGCUUCAUAGUUGGAUUGAUUCAGCAACUCAUCCAACUAAAAAUUAUACAUCAAAUUCAUGCCUACACUAUCAUGCAGAACUUGCAGAUAUAUUAUUUCCAGCGGGUCAUACACAUACUUGUACAUGAUGGCAAAGAAAGAGAGAAGGGAAGAGCUUAUGUGAAGUCCAAGCAAAUUGCUUAGCUUCAUUUUAAAACAACCCCCUCUCUCCUCUUUCU